CAAUCGGCCCUUUUCAGGGCCAUCAUACAAUUUAAACGUUGGACAAU
rfam:Trichomalopsis sarcophagae strain Alberta scaffold810, whole genome shotgun sequence.